GACGAACCGUACGAACGUUAUUCGGAAUCACUGGGCUUAAAGGGUGCGUAGGCGGCGCUGAAAGUUGGGAGUGAAAUCCCUCGGCUUAACCGAGGAAUUGCGCCCAAAACUACAGUGCUUGAGGGAGAUAGAGGUGAGUGGAACUUAGGGUGGAGCGGUGAAAUGCGUUGAUAUCCUAAGGAACACCAGUGGCGAAAGCGACUCACUGGGUCUUCUCUGACGCUGAGGCACGAAAGCUAGGGUAGCGAACGGG
rnacentral:rRNA from 1 species